ACUGUUGUUAGGUUUACUGCUUUAAGGUUGUUGUAUUUUGUAGAACUUUCUUUCUUUCUUUCUUUGCUUAGACUUGUAUAUAGUGGUUUGACUGGUUGGUUGGUUGGUUGGUUGGUUGGUUGGUUGGUUGGUUGGUUGGUUGGUUGGUUGGUUGGUUGGUUGGUUGGCUGGUGGUUGGUUGGUUGGUUGGUUGGUUGGUUGGUUGGUUGGUUGGUUGGUUGGUUGGUUGGUUGGUUGGUUGGUUGGUUGGUUGGUUGGUUGGUUGGUUGGUUGGUUGGUUGGUUGGUUGGUUGGUUGGUUGGUUGGUUGGUUGGUUGGUUGGUUGGUUGGUUGACAAGGAAAAAUCUAAAAUAUAUUCUAUAGUUUGUAGCUGACUGGAUAACUCAGUAGUUUAGGUAUCUCACUGCAGAAUCAGAGACUGGGAGUUCAAUUCCCCAUUAUGUGUCCUGGGAGAAGAGCCAGCCUGUGUGACUUUGAGCAACCUGCACAUUCCCAGGGUGCCUCUCCAGGAGAAGGGAAUGGUAAACUACUUCUGAGUAUGCUCUACCUAGAAUACCCUGAAAAAGGUCACCAUAAAUCAGAACUGACUUGACAGCACAUGGUUAUUAUUACAGUAUUACCUAUACAUUAGCCUAUGCUAUUAGCGUAUGCUAAUGUAUUCAUCCUCCAGGUUGUAUCACAAUGUUUUCUGAGCAGCCAUGUUUUAUUUCAAAUUAAAUUCCAACUUCAUUUGUUUUUAACAUUUAACUUCAAAAACAUUUCAUACAAAUCAAUUAGUCAGUUAUUUAAUUAUUUACUUAUAUGAUCACUGAUUCCAUGAAACAUAGCCCUGUUUCUAAAUCUAGAGGUCUCUCUCAACUAUAGUGUUUUCCUCAUAAAGGUUCACUUGUAUUGGCAAAAAUAUCCACAUUGUGUGAGAGUUUAAUGUCUGAAAAGUCAAUGUCACAAUGAGUAAGCUUUACAAAUGUCCAAGGGACCUUUUCCCCACUCUUAGGAAACUUAGGUUUUGCUGGAGCAUGCAGAAUGUCGGAAUAGAUUCCAAGCAUGUCUAAGAAUAAAAGGGUGAAACAGUCUUUGGGGAAGAAAGAA
rnacentral:lncRNA from 1 species